rnacentral:rRNA from 1 species
GACGAACGCUGGCGGCGUGCUUAACACAUGCAAGUCGAACGGAAAGGCCCUGCUUGCAGGGUACUCGAGUGGCGAACGGGUGAGUAACACGUGGGUGAUCUGCCCUGCACUUCGGGAUAAGCCUGGGAAACUGGGUCUAAUACCGGAUAGGAGCCAUUUUUAGUGUGAUGGUUGGAAAGUUUUUUCGGUGUAGGAUGAGCUCGCGGCCUAUCAGCUUGUUGGUGGGGUAAUGGCCUACCAAGGCGGCGACGGGUAGCCGGCCUGGGAGGGUGGACGGCCACAUUGGGACUGGGAGCCGGCCCAGACUCCUACGGGAGGCGGAAGGGGGGAAUAUUGCACAAGGGGCGCAAGCCUGAUGCAGCGACGCCGCGUGGGGGAGGACGGCCUUCGGGUUGUAAACUCCUUUCGCUAGGGACGAAGCUUUUUGUGACGGUACCUAGAUAAGAAGCACCGGCUAACUACGUG